ensembl:lncRNA
GGGUAAAAGUAAGUGCUGUAAUUAGGCUGUUAGUGGUAAGGAGUGGGUGGAGGAGAGGUGAUCUAGAGUCUUAUGAGUAGGUCUUGGUCUUUAGUGAGCCUGCACCAUCAAAAUGUGAACUUUACACAUGCUUCUCAGUUGUUUGCCCCCCUUCAUUAGGAUGGCUAGAGUGGGAUGUCAUUGGGUAUGAACCUUCUUCCAUGCAGAAGGCUGGAGAGGGCAGGAGUUGGGUUUUCCCUUCCCGAGGUCAAUUAAGCUCUGAUUAACACCAGCUGGUUAGGCUCUAGCUAAAUAUUUCCACCUGAGGACAGACAUUUUUUAAGAAAAGCCGGGUGCUCUGAUGAAUUUCAAAAUGAUUCCUUUUCCUCUCCACCUGUCAGAAGCACAAGAGGAUCUUUCUCCAAUAUUCAUCGUGAGAACCUCAUCCAGCUCCUGGAGGGAACAAACACAGCAUGACGCUUUGGGACCUCCUCAAGAUUAGCCCUGAGCUAACUACCGCCAAUACUCCUCUUUUUGCUGAGGAAGAUUGGGUCUGAGCUAACAGCCGUGCCCAUCUUCCUCUACUUUAUACUGGGAUGCCUACCACAGCAUGGUGUUUGCCAAGUGAUGCCACGUCCACACCCGGGAUCCCAACAGGCGAACGAACCCAGGGCCGCUGAGAAGCGGAACGUGCACACUCAACUGCUGCACCACCGGGCCGGCCCCUCUUUAUUCUUUUUGAUACUACUCUCUUCUAAUUAUCUUUUUGAAUUUUAAUAUUUAGUGACUUAUUUUACAUUUCAGACAAGAUUUGAGUUCAGCUGAAGUAUUAUGUGUUUCUACCAGAAAAAAAUAGAAGUAUUUUUCCAUAGCCCUUUAUAAGUUUAAAUAACAGAAGAAGAGGUAAACCACAAAAACAAACAAAACAAAAACUAUUAAAUGUAUUAAUAUGGCAAUUUUUGGACAUGAUGGUAAAUAGGUAGUAUUAGGAUUCUGCUUUGUCAAGGAUCCCAUCAAGCCCUUCCUCAUUUGGCCGGUCUCUCUCGGCCUCACACAAGCACAGUGGGGAGUAACCCUGACCGUGGUGGAAUAUGGACAUGAACGAGGCUCAAAAUGGAGGAAAGAGACUAAAUACAAACUGACGUGUUUAUUCUAGAACAAGAGAGGCUGGAAGGGUAACUAUCCAUAAUAGUACUUGUGUACAAUAUUUCACAGAGCCAUAAAAUAUGCUAUAAUUUUGGUUUCAAGCUUUUUAAAUUGAAAGGAUAAUUAUCUACUUAAGAUUUUUAGAAUCUCAUUUUCGUAAAAAAGAUUCUAAAUGAGAUACUCUUGUUCAAAUAUUUUCCUACCCGUUUAUUUUCAAAUUUAAAUACUACAAUUGAAUGCAUCUCAGAAUGAGAGAUGAAUUAUAGUCAACGCUGGUUCAGAAAUAGUCUUUAGUAAGUAGUAACACUCUCUUAGUGGCACCUGCCUCAAGUACUAUUAUAGAUUGUUAUGGAUUGAAGUGCCCCCCCCCCAGAUUCAUAGGUUGAUGACCUAACCUCCAGUGUGGCUCUGUUUGGAGUUAAGUCCUUUAAAAAGAUAACUAAGGUUAAAUGCGGUCAUAAGGUUGGGGUCCCAAUCCAAUAUGACAGGUGUCCUUAUAAGAACAAGAAGAGACCCAGGAUGGGACACACAGAGGAAAGGCCAUGUGAGGACACAGCCAGAAGGCGUCCAGCUGCAAGCUGAGGAGAGAGGCCUGGGGAGAAACCAGACGUGCUGGCACCUUCUUCUUGGACUUCUAACAUCUAGAACAAUGAGAAAAUAAACUCCGCUGUUUAAGCCACCUGGUCUAUAGUAUUUUAUUGUGGCAGCCCUAGCAAAUGAAUACAGCUUCCUUGAAAUGGGCAUUAACUAAAGGACUGGAGCUUCUCAUACUUGGAUUUCAAGUAAAGUUGGCUACA